GACGAACGCUGGCGGCGUGCUUAACACAUGCAAGUCGAACGGAAAGGCCCUGCUUUUGUGGGGUGCUCGAGUGGCGAACGGGUGAGUAACACGUGAGUAACCUGCCCUUGACUUUGGGAUAACUUCAGGAAACUGGGGCUAAUACCGGAUAGGAGCUCCUGCUGCAUGGUGGGGGUUGGAAAGUUUCGGCGGUUGGGGAUGGACUCGCGGCUUAUCAGCUUGUUGGUGGGGUAGUGGCUUACCAAGGCUUUGACGGGUAGCCGGCCUGAGAGGGUGACCGGCGACAUUGGGACUGAGAUACGGCCCAGACUCCUACGGGAGGCAGCAGUGGGGAAUAUUGCACAAUGGGCGGAAGCCUGAUGAAGCAACGCCGCGUGCGGGAUGAAGGCCUUCGGGUUGUAAACCGCUUUCGCCUGUGACGAAGCGUGAGUGACGGUAAUGGGUAAAGAAGCACCGGCUAACUACGUG
rnacentral:rRNA from 1 species